ACGUCUCACCUCACCCUGUCACCAGGGUCUACUUCCCACCCUACCCUUUCACUUUACUAGCCGUGUAAAGGGUCCCCGGCUGCUCUGCUGAGACCAGGCUUUUCUGGUUGUCAUAGGAGCAGACUAGGCCUUGAAGCGCCGCCUGUCAAAAGAAAGGAGCUGAAACACACACCUUUACACUGUCUGUAUCGCUUGCGCUAUCAACGACUCGUCUUCUUGUUCUUUUUGCCCCGAUCUGUCUGCCAAUGGACCGAUUUCUUUGUCUUGCACGUAAAACUGGAACCAAUCAAAAAACACAUGCUUCACUGUCUCUUGGCAGAUGGGAAACGUACAAAUCAAAAGCGAGGACAGUGCUAGAAAACUACUAAGGACUUAUGAAAACAACCAAUCCUGAAUGACCAAUCAGAAGAACAUACCAAUAAAAGAAAGAAGGCGAAAAACUCAAUUCUGUUCUCAAGAUUUUAUCCAAGUUUUUUGUCCUUUUUUUGAGUUCAUGUGGCCUCAAAGUUCCUAAACUUCUUUUAAAAGUGACAUUUUUGCAUUUAAAACUUGCCAUGAAGCUGUCUUUUGUAUGUUUGACUAGUUUCUUUGUUUUUACUUGAAAGACACUAACUCCACGGCAUUUACUGUACUCAACUGUUACUAACUUGAGAGAGUUAGCAGAAUUUCCCAUUGUCGAAUUUGUAGGGUUUUGUCAGGGCGAUGAGAAUACUAAUUCUCAGUGGAGAAGUGUACCUCCUCAUGGAGUCAAUAUUUUUCAUUUUAUUUGAAUUUUUCUAAAUUAUUUGAAAACCAUAUGCAGAAUGAAUUUUUCAUUUAGUUUUGUAUUUCAUCAAUUUAUAGAGGUAGCUGAUGAUGGAGACAGUAACUCUUUCUGAUACAGUAUUCGCUUGUUUCUUAAAAGUAAAGUUAAAAUAGAUUUAAAUAUUGAACUUUUUUUUUCAAGCAAGCAGAAAGAUUUAAUUCCCAUGAGCUGUUAGGUUCAUACAAGCUAUAAAUGACACCAUUUUUAGUUAAUUAGAAUUUGCUACAAAAGAAACAGUGAUGUUUAAAGCUUCCAUCAAGUAGUGUUAGUGCAACCAAAGUUUCCAACAUAACACCAGUCAGUGACCCUUGAAAUUUUUUUGCUACUUGUUCCUCCCCCAUCCUCUCUGGCAUGAGACCCCAGUUUUCAUGGGUUUUGUCAGGUGUUUUUGAGUGCUUUUACUUUUCAGGAGUUUCCGUUUUGUUAUUAUUACUGCUGCUAGAUAACUGCACACACUCUCUUGCCCUACUACUCAAUCUUCCAUUGCAAACUUAUUUGUGUGCUCCCAGACCCCCAUAACAAUAUAGCUAUACCCAACAACUACCUUCCCGACAGUCCUAGAUUUCGUCCUUCCUCACUUGCUUCCAGAAUAUUUACCUCAGAAGUUCGCUGGAACACUGAGGAGAAUUCAAGUGAAUUUGAAAAAGCUGCACUGAGGCUUUUAUUUGAAUGAACCAUUGGGAUUUUAAGAUAAGAGAGCUCUUGGGGAGAAAUAUAAAGUAAUCUGAGUUCAUAAAAUAUGCAGUUGUAAACUUUAGUGUUAAUAGUACUUGCUUUGUUUGAUACUUUUUGAUAUACAAUAAAGUUUGUUUUUGUUCAAACGUGAAA